CCUACGGGAGGCAGCAGUGAGGAAUAUUGGUCAAUGGGCGCAACCCUGAACCAGCCAAGUCGCGUGAGGGAUAACGGUCCUAUGGAUUGUAAACCUCUUUUGUCGGGGAGCAAGUCCCGCUACGUGUGGCGGGAAGGCGAGUACCCGAAGAAAAAGCAGCGGCUAACUCCGGUCCAGCAGCCGCGGUAAUACGGGGGAUGCGAGGGUUAUCCGGUUUUGUGGGGUUUAAAGGGUUCGUAGGCGGAAGGUUAAGUCAGCGGUAAAAUGUCGGUGCUCAACACCGGCCUGCCGUUGAAACUGGUCUUCUUGAGUGCACGAGAAGUAUGCGGAAUGCGUGGUGUAGCGGUGAAAUGCAUAGAUAUCAGGAAGAACUCCAGUUGCGAAGGCAGCAUACCGGCGCUCAACUGACGCUGAGGCACGAAAGCGUGGGGAUCGAACAGGAUUAGAUACCUUAGUAGUC
rnacentral:rRNA from 1 species